GACGAACGCUGGCGGCGUGCUUAACACAUGCAAGUCGAACGGAAAGGCCCUGCUUUUGUGGGGUGCUCGAGUGGCGAACGGGUGAGUAACACGUGAGUAACCUGCCCUUGACUUUGGGAUAACUUCAGGAAACUGGGGCUAAUACCGGAUAGGAGCUCCUGCUGCAUGGUGGGGGUUGGAAAGUUUCGGCGGUUGGGGAUGGACUCGCGGCUUAUUAGCUUGUUGGUGGGGUAGUGGCUUACCAAGGCUUUGACGGGUAGCCGGCCUGAGAGGGUGACCGGCCACAUUGGGACUGAGAUACGGCCCAGACUCCUACGGGAGGCAGCAGAGGGGAAUAUUGCACAAUGGGCGGAAGCCUGAUGCAGCAACGCCGCGUGCGGGAUGACGGCCUUCGGGUUGUAAACCGCUUUCGCCUGUGACGAAGCGUGAGUGACGGUAAUGGGUAAAGAAGCACCGGCUAACUACGUG
rnacentral:rRNA from 1 species